GACGAACGCUGGCGGCGUGCCUAACACAUGCAAGUCGAGCGAGAAGCUUAUGAUUGAGACUUCGGUUGAUUGAAUGAGUGGAAAGCGGCGGACGGGUGAGUAACGCGUGAGUAACCUGCCUUAUGGAGGGGGACAACAGUUAGAAAUGACUGCUAAUACCGCAUGAUAUAUAUUUAUCGCAUGGUAGAUAUAUCAAAGAUUUAUCGCCAUAAGAUGGACUCGCGUCUGAUUAGAUAGUUGGUGAGGUAACGGCUCACCAAGUCGACGAUCAGUAGCCGAACUGAGAGGUUGAUCGGCCACAUUGGGACUGAGACACGGCCCAGACUCCUAC
rnacentral:rRNA from 1 species